ensembl:lncRNA
CGUUAAUGUGUUGUUAGGUUUGCUAGAACCGAAAUCAAACCACUUUAAUUCUUAUGGGAAUUAGAGGGAGUGAAUAAAUAGAAUCUUGAAGCGUAUGUCAUUUUGACCUGGUGUAAAACUGAGAGUUCAAGAGCGGGGAAAGUGGACCAUAUGUAUUAUAGACAUAAGGUCAGGUGUUCUCCAAAGCUGCUUAUCUAUUCACUGCUGUUGGAUGUUUUUAGACUUUGCCGCAUUAUCAAGAUACUUGCCUUUUGGCAUGUCCGUCCUUAUAUGACAUUCAGAGCUAAGAAGGAAGGAAGAAAAGAAGGAAAGGAAAGGAAGAAGAGACCAGUAGGUAAAGAGCUAAUUUACUACUCUGGCAAGAGGCCAUGUUAUUGGAUUAGUGAAGAACAGUGGACAAUACAUGGUAUUAUGACUUUCAGGUCAUUCUUCUACCUUCAUUAAGGACAUUAGCACUACUUCUCUAAGCCCUGCGGCUGCCCCGAGGGACUCCAACAUCCAUGUGUGAUGACAGCAGAGGAAAGGAUGGACAGCACAGCUUCUGGAGCAGACAGACCUCAACUCAAAUCUCAGAUGUGCAAGUUAUUAGCAGAAUGACUUUGAAUUAAUCACUGAAGCUUGGUUUGUUCUCUGUAAAAUGAGAAUACUCACUUCUUCAUAGUGAGAAUUUUUAUUUUACUGUUUAUUAACUACACUGCCAAAAGGUCUGUCUAGUCAAGGCUAUGGUUUUUCCAGUGGUCAUGUAUGGAUGUGAGAGUUGGACUGUGAAGAAAGCUGAGCACUGAAGAAUUGAUGCUUUUGAACUGUGGUGUUGGAGAAGACUCUUGAGAGUCCCUUGGACUGCAAGGAGAUCCAACCAGUCCAUCCUAAAGGAGACCAGUCUUGGGUGUUCAUUGGAAGGACUGAUGCUGAGGCUGAAACUCUAAUACUUUGGCCACCUCAUGCGAAGAGUUGACUCAUUGGAAAAGACUCUGAUGCUGGGAGGGAUUGAGGGCAGGAGGAGAAGGGGAUGACAGAGGAGGAGAUGGCUGGAUGACAUCACUGACUUGAUGGACGUGAGUCUGGGUGAACUCCGGGAGUUGGUGAUGGACAGGGAGGCCUGGCGUGUUGCGAUUCAUGGGGUCACAAAGAGUCGGACGUGACUGAGCAACUGAACUGAACUGAACUGAACUACACUUUAUAAGUUCUCAUUUACUUUUUAAAUUUUAUAGCUGGUUUUUAAUUCAUUAUCAUAGUCAUUAAAGAGCCUUUGUUCACAUCACAGAACAUAGUGUAUUGGUUACUGUUAUUAUUUUGAAGGCCUUUUCCACACCUCAGCCACACAGCCUCUAUCCACCCAGUCUUGAAUGACAUUCCCUCCUUUCCCUAUAGCUGUGCUUUAUGU